AGUUGUGGCUGAAAGGCAAAGAAAAAAAAGCUACAUUCGGAGCCAAGGGCUCUCUGCGUGCUAAAUGACCCCAAGAGUCAAGCCCCAUUUCUCCAGCUGGCCCCAGGCCAGGAGUAGAAGCAAGGACAAGUACUUGUAACCCAGAUUGUACCACCCCACUGAAGCCAGAAUGCACGGCUUAUGACGACUACAUAAAACUUCCAAGAGUAAAGGCCGACAGGCAUGACGCUCUUCUACACAAUACUGACAACAUUCUCCCUUUUUAUGUGGAACACCUGAAGACACCUGCUCUCCUGAACCUUGCAAGGCCGGAGGAGUAGAACGAAGCAACAAUUAUCUUCACAAGGAGGCCCUCAGAAGCUGCGGAUGGAUGACGGGACAGUGUGGAGGGGGAGGACACUUGUUCCGAGUCAGGCUGUGGCAAGUAGGAUGGAAGCCUGGGAGAGGAAAUGAUUGGCGUCAAUCACUUCAUCCAAGCCUCAUUCUCCAGAUGACGUCACUCCGGUUCAGAAAGAAGAAAGAACUUGGCAGACAGCAGCCCGCUCACCUCCUGGCCUACCUCCAAGAGCACAGGCCCUCACAGUCUUGCCAUCCUGGGUGCUCCCCAGCCUCACUCUCUCUCUCCUCUGCUGGCUCCCCAGAAGGUGUGCAGCACGUCCUCAUCCUAUGCACCCUAUGGCUUCUUUCUUCUACGCAGAUUCUCUUCCCUGGCUUCCAGGCCCCCAGCACAAGGAAAUGACCCAACUAUGGAGGAAGAGUCAAGUCUAAACCCUGAACCACGACGUGUCUCUAGCUGAAGUCACUCCCGCCCAGCUGGUCUCUAGUCAAAGGCACCCAGGGAAGCCCCUGCCCUUGGGAGAGAAAGAAGACACUGCACCUUUAAGUCUGCAGCCAGCUCGGAAAAACAAGCUGUGAUUUAUAUAAGCGGGAAAAUCAUGUGAUUUGCAGGAACGUUGCCUCCUCCCUGGCCCCCGCCCCGUCGCCUGUGAGACCGUCCCAGAGGGCUGGGGCGCGGCCAGAGCUGGGCUGCUGGGCGCGGGGUGCGGGCGGGGCACUGGGGGCCUCUCGGGCGGGCGGUGGCAGCCCCUAAGUGGGCCGUGGAGUUUGGUCUCCAGACAGCCUCAGGGCUGUUAUGGUUUGGAAGUACAGAUCCCGGGCACUGCCCCUGCUUCCGCGACCCGCCACUGAGACUGCACAAAGCUAUCCAGGUCCGUUCAGGUCCCCACCCCACCCCUGCCCCACCCCCUGCUCCAGCCAACUUGGCCUGCCCCCAUCAGGCCAAACUGUGGCUUGAGACACCCAGGCUGUUCCCAACUUCUCCCAGAAAAAGGAAAUCCCGGGCCCCACACACUGGCUUCUGUGUCCCAAAACACCCAACAGGAAAAGAGAGCAUUUGGGGAAAUAAUCUGUUUGGGAAAGGACUUGAUGAUGAAAGUCGGCCGUUCCCAUCCCCGCAGCUGAGAGGGGCAGUGUGCAGGCCACCAGCUUUCAGGGAGAAAACAGAACCCUGAUGUGACCCUUUCAGACAGAACCAAAGAAGAGGUCCUGAGGGGUGUUUUCAAAAGAGAGGUGGUGGCUCCACCUACACCCACGCACAAGUUUGGCAAGUUCCGUAAGGCGUCACUCCUCCGUGGAAAGACCAAAGUGGGCAAGGCCUCACUUGCAAGUGGGAUCUUCCAAAACCAAGCCCAAGAGAAGUGAGGCAGGAGAGAUGAGGGUCUCUGAGCACCUCAUCCUUCCCAGAAACUACAAAGAUGGACUCCCAGAAAGAUUGUCAUGGUCUUCACAAAGUAACCAAGACUAGACAGGCAUCUCAGCCUCUCAGAGAAGGCUUCAAGAUCAGUGCUUCCUAACGCUGUGUCCCUUUAAUACAGUUCCUCAGGUUGCGGUGACCCCCAACCAUAAAGAUAUUUCUGUUGCUACUUCAUAACUGUGUUUUUGCUACUGUUAUGAAUCAUAAUAUAAAUAUCUGUGUUUCCCAAGGUCUUUGGCGACCCCUUGUGAAAGAAUCGCUUGACCCCCAUAGGUCGCAACUCACACCCCGAGAACCACUGGUCCAGAUUCUAUUUAAUUUUCCACUUCAGGGGAUAGAUGAGGUGUAGGAUGGGUGUCGUCUCCUGCAGGAAAAACUUGAUGCUCGUGAACAAGUUGGUAACUUAUCAACGAACCACGGAACCAUGACCUCAGACUCCAGCCUAGGUCAGCAGAGCCCACUCUAAGCGCUAAGGGCCAGCUGGGCCAUUCUCUGGGCCCCCUUGCUGUGUCCCAUGAAAGGUCUUUGUCAUGCUGAGCUCAGGGAGUCACCCGGGGUCCUGACACACCACAGAGAGAAGGCCUAUCCUGGAGACCAAAUG